rnacentral:ribozyme from 1 species
CCUAGCUGACCUGUAGCUAGGUGUCUUUAAGGUGAGAAUCCUUGACAAGCAUGUGGGGCUUAUAUCUUAUUGUGUCCUUUACAGGAUAGAAAUAGAUUUAUUGGGGAUACAGAGCGUUGGCAUAGCCACUCUAAACCAAUCACAAUAAGUAUUAGUGCAGACUUAAAAAUCAUGC